rnacentral:rRNA from 1 species
GAAACUAACAAGGAUUCCCCUAGUAACGGCGAGUGAAGCGGGAAGAGCUCAAGCUUAAAAUCUCCGUGCAAGUUUUGCGCGGCGAAUUGUAGUCUAUAGAGGCGUGAUCAGUGUGGGCGCUUGGGGCAAGUUCCUUGGAAGAGGACAGCAUGGAGGGUGAUACUCCCGUUCAUCCCUGAGUUGCUCGUGCGUACGAUCCGUUUUCUUUGAGUCGCGUUGUUUGGGAAUGCAGCGCAAAGUAGGUGGUAAAUUCCAUCUAAAGCUAAAUAUUGGUGCGAGACCGAUAGCGAACAAGUACCGUGAGGGAAAGAUGAAAAGAACUUUGAAAAGAGAGUUAAAGAGUACCUGAAACUGCUGAAAGGGAACCGAAUCGUUUCCAGUGUCUAUAAUCCGUGGUAUAUUUCAUUGGCGAGUGUGUGCGUGCGUGUGCUGUGGCAGCGGCUUUUUUGGCUGCGCUCGGCGUGUGUGCUGUGUGUGCUUGCUGGUGCCCUGUGCUGCGGUGGGACGUCAAGGUCAGUUCGUAUGCUGCGGGAAAUGGCCGCCGAGGAGGUAGGGCUUACGCUUGCGUUUGUCUGUUAUAUCUUGGUGGACGAGUAGUCGCGGUUGGGACUGAGGUGCCUACAACGUGUUUUUGAGUGGGCCUGUGUCUCUGUGUGCGCCGUGUGCGGAUAGCUUGCUAUGCGUGUGUGGUUGUGUGUGGAUUGAUGUGGGUUUUAACU